GUCAAGGUGGUGGAGUGGUUAACACGUUCGCCUGCUAUACUGCAGUAGAGCGGAUGCCUUCGGGCGCGCAGGUUCGAAUCCUGUCCUUGACG
rnacentral:tRNA from 1 species